rnacentral:miRNA from 1 species
GAUGACGGCCAGACCGUGGGCG